rnacentral:sRNA from 1 species
AGAACUCCUCCCCCUACUGGAGCAAUUGCCUUGAAAAAUGACAUAGCUGUUGUUGAUACACCAUUUGCAGUGCCUCUAUGUUCUUGAAGCUGAUAUUGAAUUUCAAAGAAGAACUUUGAAAAUGCUUACUGCAAGAGCACUUUUCAUCAUUGCCGCUGAAUAAAGAGCAAACGAAAGUCCCGUGCCAGAAAGGUAUGUCAUAAAAGGAUAAGUAGAAAGAAUAAGUAUAGAUAGAGCCUGCAAUUUCAGUAAAUAUGAGUGAUGAAGAUGAAAUGUCUCAUGAAUAGUUCAGAAUAUAUAUAUAUAAAUCUGUAUGGUGGGAGGGAGAUGGCAAUAUACCUGCAGCAGCAAGAACUUGACCAAUAUCCUCAGAUGAAAAGCUAAGGCCACCAUAUUUUCUAUCACUCACAGCCCACAAGGAUAUAUGCUUCUUUACCUCACUAUAUGCUGUGUCAUGAAGACCAAAAAAACAAUAUGAAAUCAUAGUAGACAUCCAUGGCCAAUUCUGCAACAAGCUUUUCUUGCGAGGUGAAUCCCAAUAAGCCUGCUGUAAUGGCAAUUCUUUGAUUCUUUUGAUGUCCUUUUCAGGAGAUUUAUGUUUAUGUAUAGUCUUACCGGAAGCCAAAUACAACUUAUUAGAACAAUAGCAGCAAACAAUGAUACACCAAGGCAAGGUAAGAGAUAUGGAAAUCUGCAAAAUGUAAUGAAAUUAGAUAUGGGUAGUUAGUAUACCUGUGCAAGGUAGCCUCCAAGAGCUGGACCAACAACCAGACCCAAACCCCAUGCUGUGUUAACCUAUGAUCAAAGCAAAUCAUAACAGCUUUAUAAUGGUGCAUAUUGAAAGGAUUGUGGAACACAAUGGGGAAAACAAAAUAGUUGCUUGUGAGAUUACAAUGGAGAGUCCAAGAGCUUGAUGUUCAGUUUGGCAAACUUCAAUAGAAUAAGCCUGUAAUGGUUGAUAAACACUGUCAGCAAAGCUCCCUCCUAGGCACAUGAAUAAUGUUGAUAUUAUCACUUGGAAGACUUUUAAGUACCUUUAUUGGCGCAAGUAAACCAUUUAGAGCACCUAGAACAAAUCUUGUAGUAAGUGCCAUCCAAUACUUUGUACUUAGUCCAAAUAGUGUGUUAAAUAUGACCCUACAACAAUAUUGAAAACAUAAUGACAGGUUUCCUUCCUAUACGAUCUGCCACAACACCCCAAAAGAUCGCGGCAAAGGAUCUACCGACCAUAAACUAUACCGAGAAAUCCAGCAUAAUUCCCAAUGUCCUCCUCUGUUUGUGCUACUUGCAGGUCCCUUACCUAUGAAAACAGAGGACAGAAUAAGCUAGCCUAUUUAAUAUGUCAAAAGUGGCGAGUGUGGUAACGGCGACGAAGAAGAGCUCCGUGUAGGGGAUCCGCCCUCCGCGCCUCGCCUUCCUCUGCUCCUGCACGCACCCCGGGCACCUCUCCUCCGCCGCCGCCGCCGCCGCCGGCAGCAGCAGCAGCGGCGCCG